rnacentral:rRNA from 1 species
UGGGGAAUUUUCCGCAAUGGGCGAAAGCCUGACGGAGCAAGACCGCGUGAGGGAGGAAGGCCUAUUGGUUGUAAACCUCUUUUCUCAGGGAAGAUAAUGACGGUACCUGAGGAAUCAGCAUCGGCUAACUCCGUGCCAGCAGCCGCGGUAAGACGGAGGAUGCAAGCGUUAUCCGGAAUGAUUGGGCGUAAAGCGUCCGUAGGUGGUUCAGUAAGUUUGCUGUCAAAGAGCGGAGCUUAACUCCGUCAAGGCGGUGGAUACUGCCGAACUAGAGUGCGGUAGGGGUAGAGGGAAUUCCAGGUGUAGCGGUGAAAUGCGUAGAUAUCUGGAAGAACACCAGUGGCGAAAGCGCUCUACUGGACCUGACACUGACACUGAGGGACGAAAGCUAGGGGAGCGA